GCAAGAGGCAGUCAGCUGUCCGAGGAGCAGAAGCACCAAGCUGCAAGACAAAGCCACAUCAUGUAGGACCUUUUCUGCCUCCUUAUACUCACAGCGAAGACAGCAGUGCAUGACGUGAGGGCUGUCCACGGCCGAGCCUCCCUAGUGUUGUUUGGAUUGUUUUUGCUUUUCUUGCCAGUAUGAUGGGCUGCAAGUCCAACUCACUCACUUGCCUCCAAGGAGGAAAACCAGGGCUGCCUCUGACCGCAACCACGGACUCCACAGCUACCCUUAACAAGCUGGCGCUGGCCACAGGAGGGACUGAGAAAUCCUGGUACCGAUGCAUCUUUCCUUUUGGCAUCGUCUCCCUGGUCAUUGGCAUAGCAGCAACCUGCAUCACCUUCACCAUUAAUGGGCCACAGAUGGACAUUGCCAAGGUGGUCUCAGUGGCCACCUUGAUCUUUGGCGUGGGCCUACUAGUGGCUGCCUACGUCUGCUGGCGGGCCAAGCAAGAGAGGCAGAGGAAAAGGAAGCGAGAGGAGCCUGCAUCCUUAGAGCAGGGAGCACUAUGAUGUGGGCCUUAUGGCAGUCAGAACUCCAAUGGGCAGACCUAUGCUCAUGACUUUCCCCUUUGUCCUGUGCCACAUGGUGGACAGGGAGUGCUUUGUGGGCAACACCAGCACUGAAGACCAGAGGAUGCCUGGAUCACACCUGGGGUCAGCUUGCCCAUGUUUUACCACCUUGCUGAGCCAUGACUGAGCCAGCAACAAGCACAUCUCUGCUCACUAUAAAGGGGUAAAAGUCAACUGUAUGAGCAGGGGGGAAGUACAGCUCACCAUGCAGCAGACUCACGACUCCCCAAGGAUUUCUCCAUAGUGAGAUUUCUAAGCUCACUUUCAGCAAUCAUCCAUCCCUGUGGAAAAGUGCUACAGCUGGCUGUAAGAAGGCACCAGAAAAAAUGAAGGGAGACAGAUGUUUUUUCUCUGCAUCACCCUCCGCCCUGGCUCCAGGUCCAUACACAACACUUCUAGAGUUCAGCUUUAUCACAAGUUGAGAAUCGUGGCGUGGCCCCAGAGAGCUGACACUUGCAGGAAAACUUGCCUCCAUUCAUCUGAAACUUCAGAAGAUGCUGAGCCUGGGCUAAGUUUCUGAACUAGUGAACAAUGUUUCUCUGUCUGCCUUUGUGUCUGGGGGGGUGGGAAUUUCUGAGAGCAGCUCAGAAAGGGCCUGGAAAUGUCCUAAAUAGCUUCAGAAGAAAUUGACAGUUCCCUCAGCCCCUUUCUUCAAGAGGGCCACUGCAUCGCAGGAAAAAGGUCCUAGCUGGUAAUUUCAAAGCAAAUGUUUUCAGUGUGAGGAGUUCACAAGAAAAUCUGAUACUUCCCCCUCCCCCUGCCUUUAGCAGAGGCAAGGAGGAGGAAAGCAUUCACUCAGCGAAGGGCAGAGGCCUUCUGUGGGAUAAAGAGCUGGUGCAAAACAGGAGCAUUUCUGACUUGGCUUGAUGGGAAGGUGGAAAAUGAGUUGAAACUUAUGGUAUCAGUGGGAAGUGCUACUUCCGAAGCUGAGCCUGGCUUGGCACAGAGAAGAGAGGAAGGUGCUGGGCUGAUGCGCCUUUUUGGAAAAGAGCAUAGUGUGGCAUACAGGUGGCAUUAGAAAGUCUCAGGAUAGGAUGCCUUCCCAUCAGACCUGCAGCUUGGCACAGAGAAGGCAGGAAAAGGUAUUAAGCUGGCCUGCUGUUUAGUGCAGAGCACAGCUCAGCAGGCAGAGGCGGCUUAAAGCACUCCAUCUCCUGCCAUGGGUUAAUGGGUCUGUACUUUGCACCAGGUGUCUCCAGAUGGGCUUUUGUUGAGCUGAGCAAGCUGCAGGCAGAGUAUACUAACUCUUUGAUAGCUGCAUGGAUAAACAAGUCCAGGAGAGAGCUGAGAUGGCCCUGGAUAGAAACCCAGGAGACAGGGCGGUGGGGACGGGACUCUGACUGAUUUCAGGAGCUAAAAAUAUGAGAAUACACAGGAAGAAGGGGGCAUCUGCUAGUGUGUUCAGAAGUAGGCCCUCAGAAAGCAGAAAAGCAAGUGUACAUGUGAUGCUGGCCCCACUGGUGCAGAAUGACAGCUGGGCUGGGGCUGCAGUUGCAGCCAAAACCUUUUUAAGUGAAAGUAACAGCAGCCAGGUCCCAGCUUUAUACCUUGAGCUUAGGCCUCAGCUCUGUAAAACCGGCUUGAUACAAGAGUGCCUUGAGCAGGCCAGGAGGGGCACCUUCUGCCCCAUGCCAGUAUCCUUACCUCCCUCUCAAGCAACGUCUUUGAGGGAGGGUCCCACCAGAGACUGUAACCAGACCCCAGCAUUCACUGCUUUUCUGCUUCCCUUGUAGAGGGCAUCCCCUUCCUUCCCCCCAUCAUCUCCCACCAGCCCCAGAGAAGAGCCUCUCACAAACAGCUCUCUUUUGGACUCCCUCACUACAGAGAUAUGCCAGGAGCUACAGAAGGCAGCAUCUCUCCUGGCUUCUCAGGAGCUGGAGCCUUUCCACCCACAACAAAAAGGAGGAUAAAUCAAACAAAGAAGGAGAAGAGGUUGGAAAAGUGACAGCCAUGGCUCAGGAAAGACUGAGCUGAGUGGAGAGUUGGAGGAGAGGACUCACGGCCUCCCCUGCCUUCUCCUUACAAGUCUUCAGCCAAGUUCUGGAAAACAGAUUGUCUUGGAAAAUCUAAGUAAGGUAUCAUUUACCUGGUGAAGUGGAACAGUUCCUGCGGAGAAAGAACAAGCCUUGACCCAUACCAGCCUCUGGUAUCUACAUACCAUACAUAUUUAUAUAUUCUGUUGUUUUUUCAGAAAAGUGUCACUGGAAUUUAAUUUCAGUAUAAAGACGAAUAUUUCCUC